rnacentral:rRNA from 1 species
UACGGAGGGUGCGAGCGUUGUUCGGAAUCAUUGGGCGUAAAGCGCGUGUAGGCGGCUUGGCAAGUCGGUUGUGAAAUCCCGGGGCCCAACCCCGGAACUGCAAUUGAAACUGCCUCGCUAGAGUCCCGGAGAGGAAGGCGGAAUUCCCGGUGUAGAGGUGAAAUUCGUAGAUAUCGGGAGGAACACCAGUGGCGACGGCGGCCUUCUGGACGGUGACUGACGCUGAGUCGCGAAAGCGUGGUGUGCAUACAGG